CCAAAGACAAUAGAGAACCAGAGGGUGUAUGACGAGACAACAGUUGACCCAGAAGAUGAAGAGGUUGCAUUCGACGAGGCAACUGAUGAAUUUUCUGCCUAUUUCAAUGGGCUCACGAACCCAAAAGUGCUCAUCACAACAUCAGACAGACCCAGAGGGAGGACGGUGAGGUU